rnacentral:rRNA from 1 species
CAGCCGCCGCGGUAACACGUAGGUGGCAAGCGUUGUCCGGAAUUAUUGGGCGUAAAGGGCUCGCAGGCGGUUUCUUAAGUCUGAUGUGAAAGCCCCCGGCUCAACCGGGGAGGGUCAUUGGAAACUGGAAAACUUGAGUGCAGAAGAGGAGAGUGGAAUUCCACGUGUAGCGGUGAAAUGCGUAGAGAUGUGGAGGAACACCAGUGGCGAAGGCGACUCUCUGGUCUGUAACUGACGCUGGGGAGCGAAAGCGUGGAGAGCGAACAGGAUUAGAUACCCGUGUAGUCCCUGUCUCUUAUAA